rfam:Canis lupus familiaris chromosome 29, whole genome shotgun sequence.
UGGAGGAACAGCCCCAGUGGCCGCCGCCAGCUCUGCAGCCCUGGAAUCAGCCCCCGCAGUAACUCCGGAGCUCUCCGUCUGCAGGGCCUGGAGGCUCCGGGGCGGG